rnacentral:rRNA from 1 species
CAGCCGCCACGGGAAUACCGAGGGUGCAAGCGUUAAUCGGAAUUACUGGGCGUAAAGCGCGCGUAGGUGGUUUGUUAAGUUGGAUGUGAAAUCCCCGGGCUCAACCUGGGAACUGCAUCCAAAACUGGCAAGCUAGAGUAUGGUAGAGGGUGGUGGAAUUUCCUGUGUAGCGGUGAAAUGCGUAGAUAUAGGAAGGAACACCAGUGGCGAAGGCGACCACCUGGACUGAUACUGACACUGAGGUGCGAAAGCGUGGGGAGCAAACAGGAUUAGAUACCCGUGUAGUCCCUGUCUCUUAUAA